rnacentral:rRNA from 1 species
CACGUAGGUGGUCUCGUGUGUCAAUGGUGAAAUCCUGCAGCUCAACUGUAGAAUUGCCGUUGAAACUACGGGGCUAGAGGACAGGAGGGGAGAGUGGAAUUCCUAGUGUAGCGGUGAAAUGCGUAGAUAUUAGGAGGAACGCCGGUGGCGAAAGCGACUCUCUGGACUGUUUCUGACACUGAGGUGCGAAAGCUAGGGGAGCAAACA